GCACUGGCUUGGCUCAACGGUUACUUCACCUCAAAUCAAAUCUGUUUGAUUACGUGGUCUCCCUCCUCCAACCGGGAUCGAACCGUGGGCGCCGUCCAGUGUUUUC
rnacentral:vault_RNA from 1 species